UUUUUUUUUUUUUCUUUUCACCAUAGUGCACGUGUCUUUAUUUCUGGAUGAUAUAAAAGAAAAAACUUAAAAAACACCCCAAACCAAACACCAGUGGAUCCCCAAAGCAAUGUGAUUCCCUCAUCCCACCCGGAUAAAUAGAGACUUCUGUCAGUCUACCCUUCCGCCCCCAUAAACCCCUCUGCUGUAGACAUACUCUGGGUAUAUAUUACUCUACUUGGCAAUAGACAUCUACCGAAAAUAGAAUUCCUGCCCUGACACCUGACUCUUCCCUGGCCUCAUCAGACCACCCGCCACUGUAGCACACUGGUGUCCUUGCCCCCCGUGGUCAGGGCCAUGCUGUCAUCCCACAAGAAGGCCACAUUUGUCACGUGGCUGCUAUGUCCACCGUACUUGUGGCUGAGGGCUCGAGGCUGACAGCACGGGUAGCUAAACAGGUGAACUUUGCCAAAGUCAUCAGCUGAAGCCAGCAACUUCCCAUCAUGGGAGCAGGCCACAGUGUUGAUAUCAGUGCCAUCCGCCCCCUUGGACCAGAUCCCAAACACCCCAAACCCCAGGACACAAGUAGCUGUGGCCCAUUCCACGUUCCUCACAGCAUCUGCACUGGUGAUCUGCUUAUAGGUAGCCGGGUCCCAAUACAGAAUCUCAUAGUCCCCGGAGUUGGUGACAAAGCAGCUGCUGUCCUGGGCCCAAUCCAGGUAGGUGAUAAAACUGGAAUGGCCCGAGCACUUGCCCAGGCGGCUGACCUUGCGGCCGCCCUGGUCCACCGUGUACACGUACACCAAGUUGUCGUGGGAGCCCACGGCCAGGUACGCCCCGUCUGGGGAUAAUUUGACCACUGAGAUCUGUUCAUUGCCGUCUGUGUGGAUAGCCACCAGGUCAUGGGUCUCCGUGUCCACAGCAGCCAUCUGCCAGUCACUGUACCCACAGCCAGGACAGAGCCACUGGGGUGGAAGCCGGCUGAGCGGGCAGGGUCCUCGAUAAUCCUGCUCCACAGGGGCUGGUGGGACUCUGAGCUCCACAGAUGCACCAGCUUAUCCUGCCCGCAGGUCACAAACUGGGCCUGACUAGGGUGUGUGGCCAGGCCCCACAGCUCUUCCACAUGGCCCUGGACCAGCAGCAAGAAGCCCGUGUGCACGGAGCCCUGCAGGAUGGAAUUGCGGGUGGUCCCCACGAACAGUGUGUCUCCGUGGCCCUCUGCCACAGUGCGCACAGGGCCAAAGUCCUCGGGGACCUCCACUUCCUGCAGCUUGCUGUCGUCAGAACCUCAGAGGACCACCUGCCGAUCACGGCCCCCUCCGGACACCAGCGUCCCAUCCCGCAGGGUGCAGAGCCCAAACACGCCACCGUCAUGGGCGCCCAGCGCACCGUCUGUGUGAUACGGUUCCCACCUUUGCCCCAAACAUAGAGGUUACCCCCAGAGUCCCCCGUGACCACGUCGCCACCUUCCAAAAAGGUCACACACAGCACAUACUUCGAUUUCUCAUGUUUCUCAAAGAGGCCUUGCCGCUUGCUCAAGCUGCCCCCCUCCAAGGUCCAGAAGUAGAUGUGAGUUUUCCUGCAGGUGAUAAGCACAGUGGGGUCCGUGGGGUGGAAGGUGGCCACCAAUACAGCCUCGUUGGAGCACUUAACAUCCACCACCUUGGUCUCCUUGGCCCAGUCCCACACCGAGAGCAUGUGAUCAUUGGAUUCAUCUACUGCGCACAGCAGGUUGCCCCCAUUAGAUUUGGAGAAGCCCACACAGCACACGGCUCUGUCAAACACCCCCAAGCCCAGCACGUGUAAGGUGGAGAGGGAAACUGAGUCCCAGAUGCACAUGUGGGGUGGCAGUGGCUUCCCUUCCUUAGUGGUGCCCGCCACCUGUCCCGUGGCGAUGGUGACCAUAUCCGGGUGGAUGGCCAAGCAUUUGAUGUCAUCAUUGUGUCCCAGGUAGUGUCGCUGCCCCUGCUCCUCCACGAUGUAUAGCACAGCCACAGAGGCCACAAAGUAUACUAUCUCCCCGGUGGGUAGCAAAUAAAGGUUGGCCCGGCAGUCUCGGCCACGGUAGCCAUAGACCCAGUCCAGCUUGAGCCGGCAAGAAGGCAGCUCCGAGCGUGUGUCCAGGCUAUAGGUGGGUGCCAGCUCAUCUGGGAUCAGCAUGGGCACAGGGUGGCCCCUCAGGAACAUUUUCACGGAGCCAUCCUCCACACUGAAGAUAACUUCUUUGGUUUUGCCAGCUCCAAAGCUACUCAUGGC
ensembl:lncRNA